rnacentral:lncRNA from 1 species
AUUUCUCCGCCCCUUGAAGCUGGGCUGCCGCGUGACUUGCUUAGGCCGAGACGAUGCCAUGGAAGAGAGGAUGCGCCAGCUCCAAGCCUUGGCCUUAGGAGCCCUUGAGCUUCUCCACUUGCUCUGCUGUCUCCCACCGUCACUGAGAACAAUCCUAGGCUAGCCUGCAGGAGGAUGAAGCCCACGUAGGGGAGAACCAUCCUACAGCCCACCGACCCCUAGCCUGGGAGAGAGACCAGCCAAGGUCAGGAGAGCUGCCUGGAUGACGCCCAGCUGGCACAGACUCACACAUAAGCCAGCUAAGACCAGUGGAACAGCUCAGCUGACCGGAGACUCCUGAGCCAGAAUAUAUGAUUACUGUUGUAAAUCACUGGGUUCGAGGCUGGUUUGUUACAGAAGAAUGGCUGACACGCUCUCCCUGUGCCUACACAGCUCCCGGUGCACCGUAAGUGCCGCAUAAUUGCCUGCUGUAGGGAGUGAGACAGGCUCGUGGCAUGGAAUUGAGCACCGACAUUUUUACUUGGCUUUAAGAUAUUUCCUGGCGGACAUCAAAGUUGAAGGAGGGAAUGUGUUUAAGAAUCACUGUUUUAGACAAAUAUGGCAACACAGUAGCUGACCUUUUCUCAUUUGUUCAUUCUAGAAAUACUUAUUUUGUGCCUGCUGUGUGCCGCUCUGGGCAGGUAGUGUGACCCCUCAGAUACUGUCCCUCCUCUCAGGUUGGACCCUCAGCCUUAGUGAGAGCCAGUAACUUUCCCACUGCACCCAGGUUAUUUAUUCCCUGGACCCUGUCCAUGUGCUCAGCCAUACCGCCCACACCCGCCUCCAGCCACGCCCGGAACUGUGCUGCC